AAGGUAGCAUAAUAAAUUGACUUUUAAUUGAAGCCUUGAAUGAAAGGAUAAAUGAAUAAUUACUAUAUUAUAUUAAUUUAUUAUAAUUUAUUUAAAAGGUGAAAAUCCCUUUAAUUUAAUAUAAUAGACGAGAAGACCCUAGGAGUUUAUAAAAAUUUAUUUUGUUGGGGCAACAUUAUAGCAGUAUAAUCUAUAAAUAUAAAUUAGUAAAACGAGAAUUUUUAAUAAUAAUUAAACUACCCUAGGGAUAACAGCAUAAAGUUUGUGACCUCGAUGUUGGACUAGGAAAUUUAAAGUUAACAGCGUUAAAUGAUAGUUCUGUUCGAACUUAUUUACCU
rnacentral:rRNA from 1 species